rnacentral:rRNA from 1 species
UAGUCAUAUGCUUGUCUCAAAGAUUAAGCCAUGCAUGUCUAAGUAUAAACAAAUUUAUACCGUGAAACUGCGAAUGGCUCAUUAAAUCAGUUAUAAUUUAUUUGAUAUUCACCUACUACUUGGAUAACCGUAGUAAUUCUAGAGCUAAUACAUGCGACAAGGCCUGACUCUUGGGAAGGGCUGCAUUUAUUAGAUACAAAACCAACCCAGUGGGGCGACUCACUGGUCUUUGGUGAUUCAUGAUAACUUAGCGAAUCGCACAGCCUCGUGCUGGCGAUGCUUCAUUCAAAUUUCUGCCCUAUCAACUUUCGAUGGUAGUGUAGUGGACUACCAUGGUAUUAACGGGUAACGGGGAAUUAGGGUUCGGUUCCGGAGAGGGAGCCUGAGAGAUGGCUACCACUUCCAAGGAAGGCAGCAGGCGCNCAAAUUACCCAAUGAGAACACCUCGAGGUAGUGACGAGAAAUAACAAUGCAGGCUCCGAUAAGGGGCUUGCAAUUGGAAUGAGUGCAAUUUAAAUCCCUCAACCAGGAUCAAUU